rnacentral:lncRNA from 1 species
GUUUUAACUGGCUGGGGGACUGGUCAUGUCCUGUGCUGGCAGAUUAUCAUUGCUGGGGCUGCAGGAUUAUUAAAGGGCCAGGACUGUAAGGUUAUUUGAAGCCAGAGAACUCCUAUACAAAUUAAGUGGGCACAAAAUAUCCAGCUGAGAACCUGCGAGGAAUGUGAGUGCCCUGAGGUUCCAGCUCUUCCACAAGGCCAGUGGAAAGAGGUUGGGUCUCAUCUCUGAUUUCAUGAUGUGCUUUGGUACCAACGACG